CAUGGGUGUAGCAAUACAUCUGAUGGCGACCGGCAAACGGGAGCGGAACACGUACACAACCUUCCUUUAAGUGGGGAAUAGCCCAGAGAAAUUUGGAUUAAUACCCCGUAACAUAUAGAAGUGGCAUCACUUUUAUAUUAUAGCUCCGGCGCUUAAUGAUGGGUGUGCGCCUGAUUAGGUAGUUGGCGGGGUAACGGCCCACCAAGCCUUCGAUCAGUAACUGGUGUGAGAGCACGACCAGUCACACGGGCACUGAGACACGGGCCCGACUCCUACGGGAGGCAGCAGUAAGGAAUAUUGGUCAAUGGACGCAAGUCUGAACCAGCCAUGCCGCGUGGAGGAUGAAGGUCCUCUGGAUUGUAAACUUCUUUUAUCUGGGACGAAAAAGGGUCUUUCUAGAUCAACUGACGGUACCAGAUGAAUAAGCACCGGCUAACUCCGUGCCAGCAGCCGCGGUAAUACGGAGGGUGCAAGCGUUAUCCGGAUUCACUGGGUUUAAAGGGUGCGUAGGUGGAUUGCCAAGUCCGUGGUGAAAUCUCCGAGCUUAACUCGGAAACUGCCGUGGAUACUGGUAGUCUUGAAUAUCGUGGAGGUCAGUGGAAUAUGUCAUGUAGCGGUGAAAUGCUUAGAUAUGACAUAGAACACCAAUUGCGAAGGCAGCUGGCUACGCGUAUAUUGACACUGAGGCACGAAAGCGUGGGGAUCAAACAGGAUUAGAUACCCUGGUAGUCCACGCCCUAAACUAUGGAUACUCGACAUACGCGAUACACAGUGUGUGUCUGAGCGAAAGCAUUAAGUAUCCCACCUGGGAAGUACGAUCGCAAGAUUG
rnacentral:rRNA from 1 species